GUGUCCUUGGUGUAGUGUUAGCACACAUCCUGUUUGUAAAUGUGGACUCCCUCUUAGGAUGAGACCGGGGUUCAACUCCCCGAGGGUGCA